AUGUCUCCCUGUACAGGCCGGUUCCUUCGCGCCGUCCGCACCCACCUCACGAUUGCUCGCUACGUUUGUUAGCC
rnacentral:sRNA from 2 species